rnacentral:rRNA from 1 species
GGGGGGACCAUCCUCCAAGGCUAAAUACUCCUGACUGACCGAUAGUGAACCAGUACCGUGAGGGAAAGGCGAAAAGAACCCCGGCGAGGGGAGUGAAAAAGAACCUGAAACCGUGUACGUACAAGCAGUGGGAGCACGCUUAGGCGUGUGACUGCGUACCUUUUGUAUAAUGGGUCAGCGACUUAUAUUCUGUAGCAAGGUUAACCGAAUAGGGGAGCCGAAGGGAAACCGAGUCUUAACUGGGCGUUAAGUUGCAGGGUAUAGACCCGAAACCCGGUGAUCUAGCCAUGGGCAGGUUGAAGGUUGGGUAACACUAACUGGAGGACCGAACCGACUAAUGUUGAAAAAUUAGCGGAUGACUUGUGGCUGGGGGUGAAAGGCCAAUCAAACCGGGAGAUAGCUGGUUCUCCCCGAAAGCUAUUUAGGUAGCGCCUCGUGAAUUCAUCUCCGGGGGUAGAGCACUGUUUCGGCAAGGGGGUCAUCCCGACUUACCAACCCGAUGCAAACUGCGAAUACCGGAGAAUGUUAUCACGGGAGACACACGGCGGGUGCUAACGUCCGUCGUGAAGAGGGAAACAACCCAGACCGCCAGCUAAGGUCCCAAAGUCAUGGUUAAGUGGGAAACGAUGUGGGAAGGCCCAGACAGCCAGGAUGUUGGCUUAGAAGCAGCCAUCAUUUAAAGAAAGCGUAAUAGCUCACUGGUCGAGUCGGCCUGCGCGGAAGAUGUAACGGGGCUAAACCAUGCACCGAAGCUGCGGCAGCGACACUAUGUGUUGUUGGGUAGGGGAGCGUUCUGUAAGCCUGUGAAGGUGUACUGUGAGGUAUGCUGGAGGUAUCAGAAGUGCGAAUGCUGACAUAAGUAACGAUAAAGCGGGUGAAAAGCCCGCUCGCCGGAAGACCAAGGGUUCCUGUCCAACGUUAAUCGGGGCAGGGUGAGUCGACCCCUAAGGCGAGGCCGAAAGGCGUAGUCGAUGGGAAACAGGUUAAUAUUCCUGUACUUGGUGUUACUGCGAAGGGGGGACGGAGAAGGCUAUGUUGGCCGGGCGACGGUUGUCCCGGUUUAAGCGUGUAGGCUGGUUUUCCAGGCAAAUCCGGAAAACUAAGGCUGAGGCGUGAUGACGAGGCACUACGGUGCUGAAGCAACAAAUGCCCUGCUUCCAGGAAAAGCCUCUAAGCAUCAGGUAACAUCAAAUCGUACCCCAAACCGACACAGGUGGUCAGGUAGAGAAUACCAAGGCGCUUGAGAGAACUCGGGUGAAGGAACUAGGCAAAAUGGUGCCGUAACUUC